AUGAACGCUAGCGGCAGGCUUAAUACAUGCAAGUCGUGGGGCAGCAUGAGUAGCAAUACUUGAUGGCGACUGGCAAACGGGUGCGGAGCACGUACACAACCUUCCUUCAAGCGGGGAAUAGCCCAGAGAAAUUUGGAUUAAUACCCCAUAAAUAUAAAAUGGCAUCAUUCAUAUAUUAAAGCUUCGGCACUUGAUGAUGGGUGUGCGGCUGAUUAGAUAGUUGGCGAGGUAACGGCUCACCAAGUCUACGAUCAGUAGCUGAUGUGAGAGCAUGAUCAGCCACACGGGCACUGAGACACGGCCCGACUCCUACGGGAGGCAGCAGUAAGGAAUAUUGGACAAUGGACGAAAGUCUGAUCCAGCCAUGCCGCGUGAAGGAUUAAGGUCCUCUGGAUUGUAAACUUCUUUUAUAUGGGACGAAAAAGAGAAUUCUUUCUCACUUGACGGUACCAUACGAAUCAGCACCGGCUAACUCCGUG
rnacentral:rRNA from 1 species